GCCACCACCAUGUAAGAGAUGCCUUUUGCCUCCCACCAUGAUUCUGAGGCCUCCUCAGCUAUGUGGAACUAAUGCCAAGAACCUGGACACCCUCUGACGGUUAACAUGCAGACACUGAGAGAAGGUGGCCACCUGUAAGCCAAGGAGAGAGACCUUAGAAGAAACCAAACCUGCCAAUACCUUGAUCUUGGACCUCCAGCCUCCAGCCGUCUCAGCUGACAUAUCAUUUCUUCAAAAGUGCCUUCCUGACCACCCCGUGGAACAGAAGUGUCUCCCUAUCCCUGAUAUUCUGUAUCCCUGGCCAUGGUUUGUUCUUUAUAAAUUUUUAUCGUAUUUUGUGAUAAUUUUGUUUGUUUACUUUUGUCAAGUCUUUUGUUUGUCUUUCCAAUAGUAGACCUUAAACUCCCAUGAAGGCAGAAACGUGCCUGUCUUACUCAUUGUUAUAUCCCAGUGGCCUAGCACAUUCUAGACCUUCAAUAAAUAA